UUGAUUUUAUGCCCUACAUAUUUUCGACUCAACCGAUUUUUUUUUUUUAAAGCGUAUCGUAAUCAAUAACAUUUUACAGGUAUUUUUACUUUCUUUCUUAAAUAAAUGCUGAGUUUUAUUUUAUAGUUAGAGUGAACAAUACUUAAAAGGUAUUUUGUCAAGUUCGUGUGAUUACCCAAUCAUGUUAAGUUACCGAAUUGCCGCUUAAAUUGUUUUUACGUAUUUACAUUACUCUGGUAUGUUGUUGGUUCAAUUGUAGUAGUAUUCUCAACAGUAUACAUGCACUUACUUUCGUGUGUAAACACGCUCUAGAUACUUUUUUGGUCGCUGAACUGGUAUUUUUUUUUUUAAUGUGUCCGUUUCUUUUCGGGCUAGUAUACAUACUAACAAGAUGUCGGAUAUUGUUGACAUUGAGAUAGGAAAGGACGGUUUGGAAGUUGAAGCCAGUGGGACUGCUAUUCUAGUUAUUUCUGGUCUCGCAUUUAUUGCGGGGCUUGCUAUUGGUGGCUAUGUCGGCUUUAAGUUUGGAACAAAAUGCGGAAAAAAGGAUUAACUUAAAGUGGUCUCCAUUCCAAAUAGAUCUACAUCAACCCCUCAUUUUGGCAGGCGAUUCAAGGAGAUAUGAUAAUGUACAGAGGCGAACACAGCACCAAAUGCCGGAUAGGGAAAGGCAGAAGACCACAGCCAAAAUCGACGGUGCUAGAAAAAAAACAGAAAGGAAGAAUGUAGACUGACUUAAACUUAAUUUCAUAAACAACUAACUAUUGAGAUUGGCCUGUGCGAACUGUGAUAUCAUUGUGUGUAGAUGUUUUAUGUAACGAGUAGCCAAAAGCAACACUAUCACCCUUUGUGAGUGGGUUCAUUAUAAAUGUAAUACUCUAUCAUCUUGUUAAUGUCUAGCUUUAAUAAACUAUAAAUUAUAAACA